GCUGAGCACAACGCAGCUCCGCCCUCGCAAAGGCACAGCGCGGGCGCAGGCGCCCAGAGGCGCACAGGAGACCUCAGGCCCAGACUCCACUCCCCAGCUGUGAAAGGACUGCUGGCCAGACCCCCAAGCUAGCCCGCCAGGCCUCCAUAGAGCUGCCCAGCAUGGCUGCAUCCAGUACCAAGAGUUGGUGGGAGACGGGUGAGGUAUAGGCUCAGUCUGCGGCCAAGACUCCGUCCUGCAAGGAUAUUGUGGCUGGAGACAUGAGCAAGAAAAGCCUCUGGGAGCAGAAGGGAGGCUCCAAGACCUCAUCAACAAUUAAGGAUUACCAGGCAUAAAAAGCAGCAGACAAUCAUGAUGCAAACUGAAAAUAAUCAAUCAAAACUGACCCAGAACUUAAAUAGAUGUUAAAAUUAGCAGAGGAGGACAUUAAAACUGUUUUUAUACAUGUAUCUCAUAUAAUCAAAACAUUAAAUAGAGACAUGGGAGAUAAACAAGAAAAGCCAAAAUCAAACUUUCAAAGACAAAAACAUUUGAGAUGAAAAUUACAUUGGAUGAACUAAGGCAGAUUAGAAACUGCAGAAGAAAAGAUUAGCAAACUUGAAGAUACAAGAACAGACA
rnacentral:lncRNA from 1 species